AUAGCUCAUGAAGCUUGAAGUCAGGGACACUGAGUAUGCGUUAUUAAACAUCUCAUGUUCUGUUCUUUCACAGCCGUGGGUACGGUGGGAAAAAUUUCAUCAGAAGGAAAGGAAGGAGGAUGACUAGAAUACAGGGGAAUGGCUUGCUAGGGUACUUGACCACCAGAACCACGCCCCGUAGGAGAUGAGGAGGAGACAAAGGGGUAGCAAUUGUGCUCUCAAUUCAGGUGUAAUUUGGUGAAGAGAACUGAGAGGUAA